GACGAACGCUGGCGGCGUGCUUAACACAUGCAAGUCGAACGGAAAGGCCCUGCUUUUGUGGGGUGCUCGAGUGGCGAACGGGUGAGUAACACGUGAGUAACCUGCCCUUGACUUUGGGAUAACUUCAGGAAACUGGGGCUAAUACCGGAUAGGAGCUCCUGCUGCAUGGUGGGGGUUGGAAAGUUUCGGCGGUUGGGGAUGGACUCGCGGCUUAUCAGCUUGUUGGUGGGGUAGUGGCUUACCAAGGCUUUGACGGGUAGCCGGCCUGAGAGGGGGACCGGCCACAUUGGGAUGGAGAUAAGGCACAGACUAGAACGGGAGGGAGCAGUGGGGAAUAGUGCACAAUGGGCGGAAGCCUGACGCAGCAACGCAGCGUGCGGGAUGACGGCCUUCGGGUUGUAAACCGCUUUCGCCUGUGACGAAGCGUGAGUGACGGUAAUGGGUAAAGAAGCACCGGCUAACUACGUG
rnacentral:rRNA from 1 species